rnacentral:lncRNA from 1 species
ACAAUGCUAAACCGCAUCAAGUGAUAAAAGCAUUCAAAUCAUAGGUGUUUAUGCCAUAUGUGUCAGCGUUUGCGUUUGGGACUAAUAGGGCGCUUCCCGAGAGUGAUUGAGCAGUGCCAGUCGUGUCUUGAGAUACCACAAACGGUGAAACGUUUAGAUUAUACCGUUACAAAAACUCAGUCCUGCGGCCAUGAAGUGGAGUUUGGCAACCAUCUCUUUUCUUGUUUGCCUGGGUGUGAGCCUUGCUCUGAAUUGCUACGAGUGUGAUAUCGGAACAUGCAAUGACCCAUUCAACAAAGCUCAGGCAAACAACACAGAUUGCGGGUCUGUAAACGACGCAUGCCUGAAAAUCAAAGUUGGAAACUUUGUGCAGCGCCAAUGUACUGUCUCUAUUGGCUGCCUUGGCGCGUUGACCGGUGGGCCGAACAGCUGUAAGACCACUUCUAUUUCAGGAGUAGACACAACAACCUGCUGUUGCACCUCGGCUCUUUGCAACAGCGCCACCACUCGUCGGGUCAACUACGCCGUGGUGUCUGCCACGUUGCUUUUGAUCAAAGCUGCUUUUUAAACAUCAUAGGCAACUCUACUUGCCUAUGGUAUCUGAAGUAAACAUGUAACAAGAAUAGAACAGAUCCUACACAGCUAGAAAGACAAAUUCCAAAUUACGCUGUUUUGAUAUUCCUCCCAGUAAAUUUCCUUCAAAAUUCUUGAAAUAAAUACGUAGUUCAAUCUGCAGUCUUCGAUUUGGUAUAAAAUUAAGGGGGAAAAGCUAACUGAAUAAUUUCUCAAAUUUCUUUAAUGCUUCCUUUUAAUGCAUUGUUCACCCUCAUGAUGAGGAAUGGGACGCGUAGGACUUACUACAGGAGUGAAAUAAAAAGAAUGGAGACUCAAGUCAUCGUGUGAUUUUUUGGUCGGACCACUGAAUUAAAAGUUCAAAGCUUACUGAAAAUAUAAAACCUUUGUAGACUCCCUGGUUGCUCCUAAAUAGGUGUGUUUCUGAUAUCUCCCCUUAAACUACAUUCCUAAUUCAUCUGGGGGUUUUUUGACUGUGACAUUCCAUUAUGUUUCACACAGUUUCUGGAAGUUAACCUUUAAUUGUCUAUUUCUUCAUAAAGGUCUUAGCCCAACUGCUAAUUGAUUCACUUUGUCAUGUUAAAAACUGAUCAAAAAGAAACUUUGCUCAUUCCUUUAUACUCGUGAGGAACUGACUAAUGAAAGCCUAUGACCAACUGGCAUUAUCAAUCCGAAAUCAAGUAAUUUCAAUAACUCUGCAUGCAAGCACGUUUGAGCCAUUUUGGUACGGUGAAAAGCGCAUGCCCGAAAGGAAGCGCUUGUAAGGUCAUUUUGGAACAGCAAUACGCACGUGCCAGGUCUGCCCAAACAGCGCGGCCGUAUGCCGACAGGCGCUCGAGGUUUGUUCUCGAAUGACCUUGCCUUUUUGAAAUAUUGAACUGGCGGAAUGCCCCUCAAACAACAAAAUGAAACGCAUUGAAAUGAUUCAUAUCAACAUCGACUAAGUACUUUUAAGUAAUGUUAAUACUUUAAUUUUUAUAAAGGCUUGGUAUUACUGAAGUUAAACAAUUUUGUAGAAUCCAGGAGACACACACAACCCUUACAAUCUACGAAAACCGAGUCUGAUAACUGAAGUGUACGAUUAGAAUAUUGCAUUAUAAUGUCGAGUUCGAGGCUGGAUCGUGGUCAGGUGCCAGACUCAGUUCCUUAUGCAGACAAUCGAUGGCUAAAGUAAUUAUUGUGUUUUUCUAUUCUCAAGGAAAGGAGCAUUGAUUGGAAAGGUAGUAAAACACAGUUAUAUAACAUCUUGUUUGAUUCUUGAGAAAUGGUUUUGUAUCUCAAGAUUCUGAAAACAUUUUUCCAAGGCGAUAACUUGGUGGAAUAAAACAAAAAGCCUGUUCA